rnacentral:rRNA from 1 species
AACGAACGCUGGCGGCAUGCCUAACACAUGCAAGUCGAACGAGACCUUCGGGUCUAGUGGCGCACGGGUGCGUAACGCGUGGGAACCUGCCCUUAGGUUCGGUAUAACUCCCCGAAAGGGGUGCUAAUACCGGAUAAUGUCUUCGGACCAAAGAUUUAUCGCCUUUGGAUGGGCCCGCGUUGGAUUAGCUAGUUGGUAGGGUAAAAGCCUACCAAGGCGACGAUCCAUAACUGGUCUGAGAGGAUGAUCAGCCACACUGGGACUGAGACACGGCCCAGACUCCUACGGGAGGCAGCAGUGGGGAAUAUUGGACAAUGGGCGAAAGCCUGAUCCAGCAAUGCCGCGUGAGUGAUGAAGGCCUUAGGGUUGUAAAGCUCUUUUACCCGGGAUGAUAAUGACAGUACCGGGAGAAUAAGCUCCGGCUAACUCCGUG